rnacentral:rRNA from 1 species
UACGAGGGGGGCAAGCGUUGUUCGGAAUUAUUGGGCGUAAAGGGUGCGUAGGCGGUUUGGUAAGUCUUAUGUGAAAUCUACAGGCUCAACUUGUAGUCUGCAUGAGAAACUGCCGGGCUUGAGUAUGGGAGAGGUGAGUGGAAUUCCUGGUGUAGCGGUGAAAUGCGUAGAUAUCAGGAGGAACGCCUGUGGCGAAAGCGGCUCACUGGACCAUAACUGACGCUGAUGCACGAAAGCUAGGGGAGCAAACAGG